UGUAGCUCAGUGGUGGAGCCCUUGCCUGGCAUGCACGAGGCCCUGGGUUCUAUCCCCAGCA
rfam:Heterocephalus glaber contig141571, whole genome shotgun sequence.